AUCUGCCAUAAGGCCAUCCACCAUAAUCCCAUCCUCCACAAUGUCAUCGUCACAAUGCCAUCCACCAUAAUGCCAUCCACCAUAAUGCUAUCUGCCAUAAGGGCCUUACCAGAGACAAGACAAUGCCAGUGCCAGGCCAAUGCUAGUACCAUGCCCUGAACCUCCACAACUGUGAGUUAAAUACAUCUCUUUUCCUUAAAAAGUAUCCAGGCUAAACUAUUUUAUUAGAGUAGCUAAAAACAGACAAAUACAACAGAUAAACAGAUAUUGAGAUUGUCAAAGACUUAAAAAUAUACACCUAUAUUCCAUGAAAUAAAGAUAAACACUACAAGGGAAUGAAAAGAGAGAGCUUCUCAGCACAAGAACAGAAACUACAAAAAAGAAACAAACAAAAGCUUCUGAACUGAAAAUUCCAACUGAAAUUUACAAUUCCUUGCACAGAUUCAACAACAAAAUAAAGAAGAUUCAAAAUAAAGAAUAGAUGAACAUGAAGAUAGACCAAUGGAAAUUAUCUAAUCUGAACAAUAGAGGACAUAAAUGUACAGAUUCAAAAAUUCCAGUCACAAGCAGAAGACAGCGAAUCACCCCGCUGCAGACAGGCAGGUCUGCCCACACCCCUACCUAGGUCCCCAGUCAGGCGGAACACAUACCGAAUCAGCCAGCUGCAGACAGGCAGGUCUGUGCACGCCCUACCAAGGUCCUGAGUCCCACGGAAGACACCGAAUCACCCCGCUGCAGACAGGCAGCCACCUAGUUCCACACUACAAAGACGCAGAGGACACCAGACCACCAGACCAAGGUCAGAGACAGAGGAUAUCAGAGAUUCAAAACAUGAGAAGGAUCUGAUACACCCUUCUGGCUUAAAGACAAAGGAAGACACAUGGCUAGAAGUGUAGGUGGCCUCUAGGAGCUGAGAAAGCAUCUAUGACAGCCACGCAGGAAAUGGUGGCCUCGUACUCUGGAGAUUCAGUGGAUUCAGCUCCCAGAUGAGAACUCGGUGCAGCCCAUACAGUGUUGAUUGCUUUGUGAACAGAACCAAGCCAUGCCAGACUUCUGAGCUCCAGAAAUGUGAACUAAUCCCAGGUGUUAUUUCAAGUUCCUAAAUGCAUGAUACGUUGUUACACAGGAGUAGAAAACUAACAUAAUCAUAUAUAGCUUUCCAAAUCCAUGCAGAUAAAUAUUUCUAAUUCUUUUUUAAGACUGCAUAUGUAUUACUUUGUCAUUACUUUAAUGCAUCAAAAUAUAUUCAAAUAUAUUCCUAUUUCUAGAAAUCCACCUGGCUUUUAUUUCUUGUUAUUUUUAAAUAAUCCAGAAAACAUCUUUAUGCAUUUGCCUUGAUAUAUCUAUCCUAUUUCCCCCCAUAAGACAGAUUGUUA
rnacentral:lncRNA from 1 species